rnacentral:lncRNA from 1 species
GGGAGUCAGCUUCAGACAGAUCCAGAUCCCAGUCCUGUUCUGCUUCUCCCCGGCUGGUGACCAAGCAAGUUGCUUGCCCUGGCGGAGGCUCCACGUGCUAAGUGUGGACACGGCAGUCCCUUCUUCACGAGGCAGUGGUGAGCGGACUGGUGUGAGGCGUCCCCAGGCAGUAGCCGGUGCUCCUGCCUUCCCAGUCUGUGAGCGUGGACGCAUGUCUCUGCGGGUGGUGUGGCCAUCGUGCAUGCUCACUGAAAUGUCACUCCAGUGAUGGUCUGAUCGCAAUGCUGCAUCUUGUGCUAGGCGCACGUGCCCAGGGAUCUCCCAUGGAUAAAUUCCUAGCAGUAGAAAUGUACAACUAAAGGAUAAUUAAAAUGUUUUGAAAUGUGUGAACUUUUAAUUACCAGAGUACUUCCAGAAAGGUAAGCUACCACCCAGAGCACCUGCCUUUCCCUUUAUGCUCAGACCUGUUGAAGGUGCCUUGUUCCACUUUUAUUCUUUUGAUUAUUCUAAAGCUGAACAUCUUGUAUACUUUUAAUUUUUUGAAUUUUUAAAAUUUUAUAUUAUACUGGAGUAUAGUUGCUUUCCAGUGUUGUUUCAGGUGUACAGCAGAGUGACUCAGUUAUACAUAUAUAUGUAUCCGUUCUUUUUUCAGAUUCUUUGCCCAUAUAGGUUAUUACGGAAUAUUGAGUUUCUGUGCCAUCAGGAGGCCCUUGUUAGUUGCCUGUUUUGUAUGCAGUAGUGUGUAUAUGUUAAUCCCAACCUCCUCAUUGACUCCUCCCUUGCUAUCUUUCCCCUUUGAUAACAAGAAGUUUGAUUUUGAGGUCUAUUGAGUCUGUUUCUGUUUUGUUUUUCUUUUUAGGGUUGUAGCAGCAGCAUAUGGAAGUUCCCAGGCUAGGGGCUGAAUCGAAGCUGCAGCUGCCGGCCCAUGCCACAGCCACAGCCACAGCAGCCACACAGGAUCUGAGCCUCGUCUGCGACCUACACCACAGCUCACAGCAAUGCUAGAUCCUUAACCCACUGAGUAGGGCCAGGGAUUGAAUGCACAUCCUCAUGGGUACUAGUCAGGUUCAUUGCUGCUGUGCUACAAUGGGAACUGUUUUGUAAAUGAGUUCACUUUUAGCAUUUGAAAAUUAGAUUUAACAUUUACGUGAUAUCAUGUUUGUCUUUCUCUGAUCUCACACAGUAUGAUAAUCUCUAGGUCUGUUCAUGUUGCCGUAACUGGUAUUUUGUUCUGUUUAAUGGCUGAGUAAUAGUCCAUUGUACAAAUGUGCCACAUCUUCCCCCCCCGGCCCCGCCCCAAUGGCUCUGGCCACGGCAUAUGGAAGUUCCCAGGCCAGGGACUGAAUCUGAGCCACAGUGCAACCUACACCACAGCUGUGGUAACACAGAUUCCUUUAACCCACUGAGCAGGGCUGGGAAUGAAACCCAAGCCUCCACAACAAGCUGAGGUGUGGCAGUUGGAUUCUUAAUUAACCCACUGUGCCAUAGCAGGAACUCCUGUACCACAUCUUAUCCCUCUGUUUUCUCAGGACAUUCAGGUUGUUUCCACGUCUCAGCUAUCAUAAACACUGCCGCAGUGAACACUGGGGUGCCUGUUUCAUUUCGGAUUAGGGUUUUCUCCAGACAUAUGCCCAGAGUGGGAUGACUGGAUCACAUGCUAACUACUUUUAGUUUUUUAAGGAACCUCCACAUUGUUCUCCAGGGUGAUUUGAACUAUUUCACAUUCCCAGCAAUGGUAUAGGAGGGUUCCCUCUUCUCCACACCCUCUCCAGCAUUUGUUUCUAGACUUUUUGAUGAUGGCCAUUCUGACCCAGUGCGAGGUGAUUCCUCAUUGUAGUUUUGAUUUGCAUUUCUCUAAUAAUUAAUGAUGCUGAGUAUCAUUUCAUGUACUUUUUGGCCAUCUGUCUGUCUUCGAGGAAAUGUCUAGAUCUUCUGCCCAUUUUUUGAUUGGGUUGGUUGUUUUUUUCUCAUACUGAGCUGCAUGAGCUGUUUGUGUAUUUUGGAGAUUAAUCCCUUGAGUCACUUUGUUUGCAAGUAUUUUCUCCCAUUCUGUGAGCUGUCUUUUCAUUGCUUCUCGAUUUCCUUUGCUGUUUAAAAAGCUUUUAAUUAGGUUCCUUUGUUUAUUUUUGUCUUUAUUUUCAUUACACUUGACGGUAGAUCAGGAAGAACAGUGCUGCUAUUUAUGAGUUUUAUAGUAUCUGGCCUUGCAUUUUUAUACGUUAAUUCAUGCUUCUACUUCUGUGACUUCAAAUGCUGGAUGGACUAAGUGUUUUUAAUAUACAAUUUAUUUUAACUCAUAUCUUGCAGGGUUUUUUUGAAAAAAAAAAUGCAGUAGUCCUUUGGUUUCAUUUUUAGUAGGUAGGGGGUCUACAGAAGUUAAAAAAUCUUACGUAGUGAAAUCUACUUGCCUUUUUUCUUUUUGCUGCUUGUUCUGAAAUUGAGUCCUGGCUUCCCCAGUGGAGGUGACAAAGCUGCCCUCAUCCUUGCUCACGAUAGAGUGUCAUGCUGUGCCCUUGCUGAGGGGCUGCACUAGGGCACCCACCAGCAGGCCUGGCACUUUGCACACACUGGGUUCCUGCCUUUGCUCUCACACUGGGGGGUUAUUUUAAAGAUACUCAUCUCUUGCAGUUGUCCUUGUGGCUCAGCAGAAAUGAACCUGACUAGUAUCCAUGAAGACUCAAGUUUGAUCCCUGGCCUCACUCAGUGGGUUGAGGAGCCAGCAUUGCCUUCAGCUGUGGUGUAGGUCACAGCCAGCAGCUACAGCUCCGAUUCGACCUCUGGCUUAGGAACCCCCAUAUGCCGCAGGUGCGGCCCUAAAAAAACAAAAAAAAAAAUUGUUUUAUUUCUAGUACUUUUAUGGUAUCAGUUUUUCAUUUAAAGCAAUUCACCUGGAAUCAUCUUGCAUGAGGUACGUGUUGUAUUUAGAAUCUGCUCUGGGGGUGUGACUCUCCUCUGAGCGUGCCUGAGUGGUGCUUCUCUGAAGAUAAGCAAGAGGAGACAUGCCCGAACACCAGACAGGGUCACCACGUGCUUCCUACAGCUCCUCAACACCAUCCUGGUUUCCAGCCUCUGCUUGUGGGGGACUCCGUCCAGCCUGGCAGCUUGGUUCUAGGGGCAGCGACUGGAAGGUUCGGAUUGGAGGAAGGUAAGGUGCUGGCAGUUGGAGUUCCCUAUUUGUAAUUUUGCUGAGGACAGAAAUGAUCAGGUUUUUUUAAGCAUUUUAUUUUUAUCAGAGUAUAGUUGACUUUAAAAUGAUCAGCUAUUCAAAGGGCCAUCACUUUCUUACAGGCUGUUCUAACAGUUCUCCUCUCUGUUUUGUUUAAUUUUUUUUUUUUAAUUGUCUGUGUUUUCGAGGGCCGCUUCUCAAAGCAUAUGGAGGUUCCCAGGCUAGGGGUCCAAUCGGAGCUGUUGACACCAACCUACGCCAGAGCCACAGCAACGCAGGAUCCGAGCCGCGUCUGCAACCUACACCACAGCUCACGGCAACGCCGGAUCGUUAACCCACUGAGCAAGGGCAGGGAUUGAACCCGCAACCUCAUGGUUCCUAGUCGGAUUCAUUAACCACUGCGCCACGACGGGAACUCCCAGUUUCAUAAUUUUUUAAUUGACAUAUAAUUGAUUUACAAUGUUGUGUUGAUUUCUGGUGCUUUUAAAGUGACUCAGUUACUUGUAUAUGUUCUUUUUCAUUAUAGGUGAGUUAUUGAAUAGAGUUUCCUGUGCUAUACAGUAGGACACUAUUAUUUAUUUUCUACAUAGUAGUGUCUACAAAUCUGAGACCGACUUCACCCCUCCUGUGCCCUCCCCUCUUGGUUUAAUCAGAGGGUGGUUUUCUAUAUCUGAGUUUGUUUUGUGACUAACUUCAAUUGUGUCACUUUUUAGAUUCCACAUGUAAAUGAUAUAGUAUUUGUCUGACUUAUUUCCCUUAGUAUGAUCAUCUCUAGGUCCAUUCGUGUUGCUGCAGAUGGCAUUAUUUCAUUCUUUUCUAUGGCUAACAUCCCAGUGUGUGUGUACACACAUACUGAUCCAUUCCCCUGUUGAUGGAUGUUUAGGUUGCCUCCAUGUCUUGGAUAGUAUAACUGGUGCUAUGAACGCUGGGGUACAUGUAUCUUUUUGAAUUAUGGUUUCCUCCAAAGGUAUGCCCAGGAGUGGGAUUGCUGGAUUAUAUUGUAACUUCAGUUCUUUAAAGAACCUCCAUACUGUUUUCCAUAAUUGCUGUAACAAUUUACAUUUCCCUCUGUUCUUUAAUGACAAUAUCAAACAACAGGUGGAAGACAUUUUUAUUUUACUUUUAUUUUUUCGGCUGCACUCAUGGCAUAUGGAGGUUCCCAGGCCAGGGACUGAAUUCCAGCCUCAACAGAGACCUAUGACAAUGCUGGAUCCUUUCCAUUCACUGUGCUGGGCCAGGGCUCAAACCUGAGCCACUGCAGUUAGAUUAUUAACCCACUGCACCGCAAAAGGAACCAAGAACCAUUUUUGUGUGUAUUUAGGGCCACACCCAUGACAUAUGGAGGUUCCCAGGCUAGGGAUCAAAUUGGAGCUGUAGCUGCCAGCCUCCACCACAGCCACAGCAACACAGGAUCUGAACCAAGUCUAUAACCCACACCCCAGCUCACGGCAAUGCCGGAUCCUUAAUCCAUUGAAUGAGGCCAGGGAUCGAACUCGUGUCCUCAUGGAUGCUAGUUAAUCACUGAGCCAUGAUGGGAACUCCAAGAACUGUUUUUAAAGGUUUCUUGUUAGAGCUUCCUUAGCCUUGGCACACCAGGCAGAGGGUGGCCCCUCAGUCACAUGGCAGAGCUUCCAACACUGCCACCUAUUUGGGUCUGGGGAGUGCCGGGAGCCUGGCAAACCUGGACCUCCUGUUGUGCUCUGGGCACCCUUUUAACAAGCCCUGGUGAAGCCUUUUGGAGAUGGACACUUUUUUUUCCUCCCAAAAAAAGUCUUCCCUAAUGAGCCCCUGUCACUAAGCUGUAGUGUAGGCGUGCACUGUGUUUAUGAAACCCUAGUCCAACAGUAAAAGUUCCCUGGGAGGGGCAGCUCUGACUGCCUGACCUCAGCCCACUACGUGGGGGGCAUAAGUGCCUUAAAGGCACUGAUAAUCAUUUUUAGUCUUAAACAUACCUUCCUCUCAGAGGCCCUUUACAAAAGUAAAAAGUUACUGAAUUGACAGUGGAUAAAAUCCAGUAUAUGAGAGCAGUAAGGAAGAAAGAAAAAAGCAAAAUGAAAUACCUGGGAGGUUUCUGUCACCCCAAAAAGUGUUUCAUGCCAUAAGCACCAAACAGCUCAGGCACUGGCAGAGGGAGAGACAGAAACCGCUGCUUGGCACACUCCAUUCUCCCAGCAUGGUCUGGAAGCAGAGCAGCAUUGCCAGGACUAAAUGCCCAGUGCCUUGCUUCCAGCAGAACACAUGUAACAAGGCACUGGACAGCCUGCAACGUGUGUGGAAGCCCAAAGGUGAUUCUGAGGUGGAGAGCACAGGUGGGGGCUUCGCCAUGCUCUGAACCACAGCCGGGCCCUGUGGCCUGCCUGCACUGGUGCCCUCUCCUGCCUGCUGUGGCCACCAAGGAGCCCACUCCAGCCCCAAGUUACAUAGCCCCCAAGCCUGUGCCGCCCACGGAAGAACACACUCUCCAGUCUCUGCAAGAUCUGGCAAAGGGGUAAAAACUUUGUUGUCUUUAUUAUAGCUAACUCUGCCCAAGCUCUGACACGGACUCCUGGUGAGCCCAGGGUAGUCACACUCCAAAUCCCCCUUGUGCCCCUCUGUGCCUCAGUACUACUCUGCAAUGACUCCUGCACCAGGCUUCCAGGGUCCUUUUUGACCAGUCCAGGCCGGUCUGCAUUCAGUUGUAAACUGUUACGUCACUAUCAUACUCUGCCAUACCUUUACCAGACCAAAAACUGAGACAGACUGCAGAGGGUAGGAAAUGAGCCUGUUUACAGAGCUAGGAAGAACACAUCUCUAUUAGCCAGAGGGACGUGUGAGAAAUCGGCCCUUUAUCACUUACGCUGCUGCUCCUCGCCCAUGGUGUCAGAGGCUCACCCUCCUGCUGGCCACCCCUCCCCACUUGGACUGGUUGUCCUCCACCUGGCACUAACGCUGUAGGGUGGUCCUUCGGUCCAUGACUUCCUUUAUCAUACUUCACAUGCUCUUCCUGCAAAAGCUUACAUCAUCCGUACAGAAUCAAUUACCACUUAAUUGCUAAUGACUGUCUCAGUCCAGGUCCAUCUCAAAGUCCAGCCACAUCCUACUCACUCUCCUGGCAGCGUCUCCAGCGCUGCAUGUCCAUACCACAGGCACACAUUCCCUCCUCCAAGCUGGCCGAGCUCUCCUCUUGGAGAGCUCACCUUCCACCACAGGGUCACUUUCCUGCCCCAAAUCCCAUCAGCUCUGAAGACAGCCUCUGUCUCUUUUCUCCCACCUCUCCCCUCUUCCCCAUCCACACAUUUACAGCCCUGGCCCAGCCCAUGGUCCUUCAGAUGGGGACCACCUGCCUUCAGCCUACUCCUCCAAGGCCCGUCUCAGGUGUGCCCUCCUCUGCGGUGAAGAGUCUCCACAGAACGAGCCAGCCCUUUACAAACAAGCAAAAAUGUCCCCUAAUGCAUUCUGGAUAUAUGCCUGUCAUAUUUGAUAUCUAUCUUGUUCGUCAUUUUACUUGCCUUUUAUUUUGUCCAGCAUGUUACCGAGUUCACAAAGCAAGUGUAAAUAAUGCCUGUCAAAGAGAAGCUGCUCAAAAAAGUUUACUUCAAAGAUGUUUUUAUAUUAAGUUGAAAUCUUACCUGUUUCAGCAAUAGAGUAUUGCGUUUCUCUUUAUAUAAUUACAUACACACAUUUAAUAAACACAUUACAAGAAGCCAAAUUCAACAUGCUCAAGGGAGAAGACAAACUUAAGAGCAUAGUAUAUCAAAGCCAGGACAGCGGUUUUUUUCUUCAGGGUGAGCAGGAGGGCCUGUGAGGACUAUCAAGCAUUACAGAGGGUUCUGACCGUGUUCUUUUGAUAUGGAUGAUAGUUACAUGAUGAUCUACUCUACAGAGAAUUGGUAACAUUACAGAAACACCCUAUACUGGGAUCAGCCUCACGCACCAGUGGGCAGGCCCAUCAGCAGGCUGACACCAGCCCUGGUCUCUGGCCCCACCAACCAGCAGGCCAACAGCAGGUCUGAGACACCUUGGGCCCCUCACCUCUGCCAUGAGGACCAGCCCCACCCACCAGAAGGCUGACACAAGCUUUGGGACACCCCAGACCCAUAGCCAGUUGUGUCAGCAACUGACUUUACCUACCAGCAGACCAACACCAGCUACAGGACAGAAGUCCAGAGCCUAGCUCCACCCACCAAUAAGCCAGCCCAAGCACUGGGACCCCUGGACAACGGCCCCACCCACCAGCAGUUGAACAUCAACUCUGGGACCUGGGGCCCUGCAACCAGGCUCUGCCUACCAGUGAGCCAGCAAUAGCCCCAAGACCCUGCUCCACGCCCACCGUGGAGGGCACCAGCCACAGGACCACCUAUCUCCAUGCCCCAAGGCACCCUACAGCCUGCCUCAUCAGAACCCUGCCAACACACCAGCAGGCCAGAACCAGCUAGGAUAACCUUGGACUCCUCAGUCAGCUACCACAGAAUCCAGUCCUACUCACCAGCAGGCCAGCACCAACUUUGGGACACCCUCGAACUCAGAGCCAGCCAUGUCAGGAUCCAGCUUCCCUGCCAGGAAGCCUCAGCACUGCAACCACCCACCCCAGAACCCAGCAGUAGCUCCAAGACCCCUCGGGUUUCACAUCCAGCUACCUUGUGACCUGGCCCCACUUACCAGGAUCAGGGCAGCCUCCACACCAGACAGGUACCAGCAUCCAAGCAGGCUGGGUUGCGGGGAGGGAGCCACACCUAUCAGACAGCCCAGAGAAGUUGUGGCCCACCUAGAGGACAUUCCUCGCCCAGGAAAAGGAAGUAUGUUGCUAGGGUGCACAGGAUGCCUCCUACAAAAGGCCACUUUGCCAGGUCGGGAAACAAAAGACCUGCUACAUACAGAGAAAUAAAAACAGCAAGUUAAGAAAAAUGAGGCAACAAAGGAACAUGUUCCAAACCACGGAGCAAAAUAAAACUCUGGAAAAACUAAGUGAGGUGGUGGUAGGCAGUCUCCGUAAGAGAGAGGAAGGUAAUAAUCGAUCAUAAAUGAUCCGAGAACUUGGGAGAAGAAUCAAUGAACAGAGUAGUUGUUAACAAAGAAAAUAAGAAGAACCAAA